ensembl:lncRNA novel transcript
CUCGCCAUCCUUCCUCGUGGUCGCGCACCCGGUUGGAUUUCACAGUCAUGGAAGUUCUGCUUUAAAAUCCGUUUCUGAAGAAGUGUUAAUGGAGGAACACAGCCUUGCUGAUACUCUGAUUUCAUCCCAGUGAUACCUAUUUAGGACUUCUGAGCUCUAAAACGUAUAAGAAAAACAGCAGACGAACACCAGGUGAGGGAGAGUGUAUUAAACACCUGGACGGUACUCCGCAAAUAUGACACAGUCACCAAAGACAAGUUUGAGAAUCUGUCUCAGACAAGAUCUUGACACUGCUGACCAGGGACAAAAUGUCCCAUUGACAGUCAUGCUCUGGAGCAGGAUGGGCAGUGAGAGACCAGAGACCACAGGAUGGGGGAAACACAAAUGCUGACCUCAAGGAGAAGCUGAAGCCAAGAGUAUUAAUCACAGUGGUGAAGAUAAGAAAGAUGACCCCAAGUAAGAAAGCCCAGAAAGGCACUUGCUGUUGACUCCCUCAGAAAGAACACCACGAAAGACCAUGGAUCAUGUAAAGUAAGAA